rnacentral:rRNA from 1 species
GAUGAACGCUGGCGGCGUGCUUAACACAUGCAAGUCGAACGAAGCAUUUGCGACAGAUUUUUUCGGUAUGAAGUUGCUUAUGACUGAGUGGCGGACGGGUGAGUAACGCGUGGGUAACCUGACUUGUACUGGGGGAUAGCAGCUGGAAACGGCUGGUAAUACCGCAUAAGCGCACAAUGUUGCAUGACAUGGUGUGAAAAACUCCGGUGGUAUAUGAUGGACCCGCGUCUGAUUAGCUAGUUGGUGGGAUAACAGCCUACCAAGGCGAGGAUCAGUAGCCGAGCUGGGAGGGGGACCGACUACAUUGGGACUGAGACACGGACCAGACUGCGACGGGAGGCAGCAGUGGAGAAUAUUGCACAAUGGAGGAAACUCUGAUGCAGCGACGCCGCGUGAGUGAAGAAGUAAUUCGUUAUGUAAAGCUCUAUCAGCAGGGAAGAGAGUGACGGUACCUGACAAAGAAGCACCGGCUAAAUACGUG